GAUGAACGCUGGCGGCGUGCCUAAUACAUGCAAGUCGAGCGAACAGAUGAGAAGCUUGCUUCUCUGAUGUUAGCGGCGGACGGGUGAGUAACACGUGGGUAACCUACCUAUAAGACUGGGAUAACUCCCGGAAACCGGGGCUAAUACCGGAUAAUAUUUUGAACCGCAUGGUUCAAUAGUGAAAGACGGUUUCGGCUGUCACUUAUAGAUGGACCCGCGCCGUAUUAGCUAGUUGGUAAGGUAACGGCUUACCAAGGCGACGAUACGUAGCCGACCUGAGAGGGUGAUCGGCCACACUGGAACUGAGACACGGUCCAGACUCCUACGGGAGGCAGCAGUAGGGAAUCUUCCGCAAUGGGCGAAAGCCUGACGGAGCAACGCGGCGUGAGUGAUGAAGGUCUUCGGAUCGUAAAACUCUGUUGUUAGGGAAGAACAAAUUUGUUAGUAACUGAACAAGUCUUGACGGUACCUAACCAGAAAGCCACGGCUAACUACGUGCCAGCCGCCGCAGUAA
rnacentral:rRNA from 1 species